AAUGGCAAGUGAUGAAUAAGUUCUUAUCCUACACACUGAAUUGCUGUGUUGAUAAAAAACUCCGCUUAUUAUCUGAUGCCCUU